rnacentral:rRNA from 1 species
UACAGAGGCCCCAAGCGUUACUGAGAAUCACUGGGUUUAAAGGGUGCGUAGGUGGCGCGUUAAGUCUGUUGUGAAAGCCCUGGGCUCAACCCAGGAACUGCUUCGGAUACUGGCGCGCUUGAGGCUAGUAGGGGUCACUGGAACUGACGGUGGAGCGGUGAAAUGCGUAGAUAUCGCUUGGAACGCCGAAGGUGAAAACAGAACUGCUGGGGUUGCGGCCGACGCUGAGACACGAAAGCCAGGGGAGCGAACGGG